AGGGGUGGACAGACCUGUCGGCCUGGGCUCUAGUGGGGCAGGGGCUUUGGAAGGUUGAGGACGGACUGGGUGGCUGGCCAUCAUGACACGUGCAAACUUGGCUUUAGGGCCACGCGGGAUCGCGAGCUGAGCUUUCCUCGGGUUCCGGUUACAGACGCUAGGAGACGCCUGAACUUAGCUGACCGGAACUUACCUGUAUCCCAAAAACUUACUUCCAUGACGGUGGGAGGGAAACAGCAGCAACGUUGAUAGAAUCAGUGGAGGACACGGCUCUCUUCCCCAAAACUGCCCACGUUCAAGUAAGAGCCCCCUUUAGCCCUUACCUCUUCUUCCACCCGCUCCCCGCCCCCCACAUCUUUGUUGCAAAGUGAGGAUUUGAUUUUGCACAGCUCUGAGUACUUAAGCUGCAUGAUCUGAUUUCUUGGCAUAGAUCAGUGUCUGUCCACGUGACCGCCCAAGUUCUCCUUUGUUCCAUCCGCCCCAUACACGUUCGUGGGAAUGAUCUGAUUACAUACACCAUUGUGGCUACAGCCCUAAGUCCAUAAUAAAGCCAUUCUGAUGCUCCUAA